UACGUAGGGUGCGAGCGUUAAUCGGAAUACUGGGCGUAAAGCGUGCGCAGGCGGUGAUGUAAGACAGGUGUGAAAUCCCGGGGCUCAACCUCGGAACUGCAUUUGUGACUGCAUCGCUGGAGUGCGGCAGAGGGGGAUGGAAUUCCGCGUGUAGCAGUGAAAUGCGUAGAUAUGCGGAGGAACACCGGUGGCGAAGGCGGCAUCCUGGACCGACAUUGACGCUGAACGGCGAAAGCUAGGGAGCAACGGG
rnacentral:rRNA from 1 species